rnacentral:lncRNA from 1 species
UUGAUGAUGCGCGGUCCGAAUUAUAUGGGUUAGAGGUUGUUGUUCACUGCGAUUUGAUUGCUCCGAUUGUUGGCCACUUGAUAUUAGCCAUUCUGUAGUGACCCCCGGUUUACUCAUCAGUAAUGGAGAGAAGACGGAGACGCUCAAAAAUGGACUUUUGUGAGUAAUUUGUUCAUGAUCAGAUGACAAUUCUAAUGGGUUCAAAUUCUUACCAUCAGACUGUCGGUAACUUCUAGUGUCCGUGAAGGAUUUAUUUGUGUUGGUUCGAUGAGAAGUAGGUCUCUUUGAUUCGAUCUGCAUAGGCUUCUUGUGGAAGAGCUCGUUGCUGUUUUGAAUCAUCAGGCUGCGUAUACAUCUUCUGUUCUUUCUCUUCUCCAGUCGAAUGCGACAAUGGUUUCGACAUAUUCAUAAGAAAAAAUCCAUCUUAGAUUGCAUAAUUUGUUUCUGUGGAUCACUGAUGACAUGUUGAGGCUGUCGAGUUUCUUUAUGUUGAGGCUGUUGAGUUUCUUUGAAUGGAGUUCAUGAUUAAUUGCUGGAGGAAACUAUUCAGUUGUCGUCUCGCACCAUGUUAGCUGCACAUGGUGUGUGAUAGUCAAUGACAAUGUGCUAUCUAAAACGGCGAUCUUUCCUGACUUAUCUUGUGAGGACAUGGAUUUCGCCAUGUUCAGGGGUGGCAUGUUGUUGUUGGCUGUCACACACCACAUCAAUGCGUGAGUUCAUGCAUCACAGCUCUGACUAUCUUCUUGGUGGCUUGUUUACGGGUGUCUUGUAUCUGCCUUCAUUGAGCUGACUUUGACCAUUGCACCUUACGGUCAAAUCUGAUACCUAAUGCGAAUUUUGGUUAUAGUGUUGUCUUAUUGCUGUUGGGGGCAUUAGCCUUUAUUGCUGCCAGUAUAUGAUUGAUACAGAUGGUAUAUAAUUCUUUAAGAUCAAUUUGUGGGAGUUUCUUUACUUGAUUGGGUUGUCAGAUUUAUAGAAUAUUAAGAAUAACAGCUGUCUAGCUUUGUAGACUAUGUUAUUUUUAAUNNNNNNNNNNNNNNNNNNNNNNNNNNNNNNNNNNNNNNNNNNNNNNNNNNNNNNNNNNNNNNNNNNNNNNNNNNNNNNNNNNNNNNNNNNNNNNNNNNNNNNNUGCUUGUUAAAUAAUAUUUAGAGUAGCUUUGCCAAAAGCCAGUCAUCUGGUAUGUCUUUUUCAAGUGCUAUAAGUUGGUAUUAUCCAUUCUAUUUUGCUCUGCUACCAGCUUUAUUUUCUUUUUAUUCAUCUUGGGCAUUGUGUUAAUCGAUGUCAUUCAGUCAAAAAUCAUUUUGGCCAAAUUAAUUCUUACAAUAGCAGCCAUCAGAAUUGGGAUACUUACAGCUUUGACUGUGGCUAUAGACUUUGUUCUCAAGCCAUUAUGUAAUAUUCUUUUUCCUGAAAAAGGACAUAUUAGUAAUGCAGGCCGGGAACAAGAAAAUAACUCUGUCCAGGGCAAGACUUUGUGAAUGCUUGUUGUGGUAAGAUCAUGGCCUUACAAAGUUUGUUAGGUCGAGGAUAAAUUAUCUGGUAAAUUGACUAUAACCGAACAAAAAUUCUAUUUUCAACUUAAUUAGAUCUGCUAUCUCUAGAAUCUCUUGCUUGAAAACCUGCUGCUGAGAGAAAGCUGAUGUAAGAAACCUUUUCUUCACGGUUAACAUCAGCAUGACAUUUGGAGUGAGAACAAUCUUAUGGCUAGGAAUGUCAUACGGAUUUCACAUGGUCUGAUUUUUGAAGCUUUUGCUAAAUGUAAUAUGCCAUCAUUGGCUUGUGCGUGCACAUGUUUUGUGUUUUCCAAAGAACCAGCUGUAUCUGUUGCAGCCUUACCAUGUCUCGAAUCUCCCUUAUGUUUUGAGAGUUUCACCUUUCUACUUGCUGUCUUUACCAAUACAAAUUCUUGCUCAUGACUGAUGUUAUUUUUCUGUAGUCCCUUCUUAUGGCAUCGUUUCACUUCCACUUCUUUUUUUGACAUCAGAACAUAAGUCUUCUCCUUCAUAGGCUAUCAUCUUCAGAAGAGAUGCGUUGUUAGAAAGAUGCCCAUUAAUAUUCUUUACCUUAUUGCUGAAGGUCCUCACUAGCAUUCUGUCACAAGCUAACCUCCUAUAUCUGCUUUUACUUUACUCAUUAAAAAUUUUGUUCAUAUUUCCCUUGGGCCUUCAUUUUUCUAAUAGCAUAGAAUGGCAAUUAUUCUUUUUCUUGUGUUGUGUGAGGUGCGAUGCACUGGACCCUGACCUUUCUUGCUUCUAUAUUUUGCAGCUGUGUGGCUAAUCUCCACGGUUCAGGUAGCAUGUUUAUGGACUGUUGAGAAGCCUGUAGGAGAUUGAGAGAAAUUGGCCAAAAAGAUUUGAGUAGUUGAUGUCUGUUUUAUUAGGUUAAUGUUAAUGACUAUUUCCUCUUAUCUGGGGAUGCUUGCUGUUACUUUCCAGUAUCAUUUACUAGUUGAUGCAGGUAAAAGAGAACAAGAAAAUGCUGGUGUGUAUAUUUUGGCCAUGACUCGUGAACUUGUUUGCUAGUAGA